rnacentral:rRNA from 1 species
AGUUUGAUCCUGGCUCAGGAUGAACGCUAGCGGCAGGCCUAAUACAUGCAAGUCGAGGGGUAGAGGAGAGCUUGCUUUCCUUGAGACCGGCGCACGGGUGCGUAACGCGUAUGCAACCUACCUUAAUCUGGGGGAUAGCCUCUCGAAAGAGAGAUUAACACCGCAUAAAAUCAAAGAACGGCAUCGUUUAAUGAUCAAAUAUUUAUAGGAUUAAGAUGGGCAUGCGUGACAUUAGCUAGUUGGUGAGGUAACGGCUCACCAAGGCGACGAUGUCUAGGGGAUCUGAGAGGAUGACCCCCCACACUGGUACUGAGACACGGACCAGACUCCUACGGGAGGCAGCAGUAAGGAAUAUUGGUCAAUGGAGGCAACUCUGAACCAGCCAUGCCGCGUGCAGGAAGACGGCCCUACGGGUUGUAAACUGCUUUUAUUCGGGAAUAAACCUUUUUACGUGUAAGAA